GUAUAUUUGAUUAUGGCCUUUCGGCACGAUCACGUUCAAUAUUUUAUAAGGGGGUAUGUGUUAAUAAUGAGAGGCGGGGAAAAACUUUCAACAAGCCCAGUAAAGAGCUUAUCUCAAACUUCUCCCCCCCUUCUCAAAGGUUCACAGGUGUAUGGAUAAUGAAAUGUCGGAGAGCGAGCACAUGUAACCCGAAAGCUACCAGCAUCAACCCUCCUUUACAAUUCGUUAAUGAUCCUUCCGCAGGUUCACCUACGGAAA
rnacentral:misc_RNA from 1 species